CCCUGAUGUUAGCGGCGGACGGGUGAGUAACACGUGGGUAACCUGCCUGUAAGACUGGGAUAACUCCGGGAAACCGGGGCUAAUACCGGAUGGUUGUUUGAACCGCAUGGUUCAAACAUAAAAGGUGGCUUCGGCUACCACUUACAGAUGGACCCGCGGCGCAUUAGCUAGUUGGUGAGGUAACGGCUCACCAAGGCAACGAUGCGUAGCCGACCUGAGAGGGUGAUCGGCCACACUGGGACUGAGACACGGCCCAGACUCCUACGGGAGGCAGCAGUAGGGAAUCUUCCGCAAUGGACGAAAGUCUGACGGAGCAACGCCGCGUGAGUGAUGAAGGUUUUCGGAUCGUAAAGCUCUGUUGUUAGGGAAGAACAAGUACCGUUCGAAUAGGGCGGUACCUUGACGGUACCUAACCAGAAAGCCACGGCUAACUACGUGCCAGCAGCCGCGGUAAUACGUAGGUGGCAAGCGUUGUCCGGAAUUAUUGGGCGUAAAGGGCUCGCAGGCGGUUUCUUAAGUCUGAUGUGAAAGCCCCCGGCUCAACCGGGGAGGGUCAUUGGAAACUGGGGAACUUGAGUGCAGAAGAGGAGAGUGGAAUUCCACGUGUAGCGGUGAAAUGCGUAGAGAUGUGGAGGAACACCAGUGGCGAAGGCGACUCUCUGGUCUGUAACUGACGCUGAGGAGCGAAAGCGUGGGGAGCGAACAGGAUUAGAUACCCUGGUAGUCCACGCCGUAAACGAUGAGUGCUAAGUG
rnacentral:rRNA from 1 species